rnacentral:rRNA from 1 species
AUUGAACGCUGGCGGCAUGCCUUACACAUGCAAGUCGAACGGCAGCACGGACUUCGGUCUGGUGGCGAGUGGCGAACGGGUGAGUAAUAUAUCGGAACAUACCUUGUAGUGGGGGAUAACUAUCCGAAAGUAUAGCUAAUACCGCAUACGCUCUAAGGAGGAAAGUGGGGGAUCUUCGGACCUCAUGCUAUAAGAGUGGCCGAUAUCUGAUUAGCUAGUUGGUGAGUUAAAGGCUCACCAAGGCGACGAUCAGUAGCUGGUCUGAGAGGACGACCAGCCACACUGGAACUGAGACACGGUCCAGACUCCGACGGGAGGCAGCAGUGGGGAAUAUUGGACAAUGGGAGAAACCCUGAUCCAGCAAUGCCGCGUGAGUGAAGAAGGCCUUCGGGUUGUAAAGCUCUUUUGUCAGGGAAGAAACGGUUGUGGCUAAUAUCCAUGGCUAAUGACGGUACCUGAAGAAUAAGCACCGGCUAACUACGUGCCAGCAGCCGCGGUAAUAC